UUACAAUUAUAAAAUACAAUCAUAUUAACUGCGAAUAUUCUUCACGGUGCGAACUUGUUUUUAAAGCCUCGUUUUUAAUCUGACCUGAUCGAGAGAAUGGACGCAUUAUUAUUAAUACAGUUUGAAUAGAUUUACCCGUUUUAUGAUUUAUCACUGAAUGAACAGAUAGAUACAUCUAGAUAGAUGCUCUUGUGCUGUCCGUUAUAAGCAUUUAAUUCUUUCAUACCUCCGGGACAUAUGUUUCACCUACGAAAAAAAUCAUGACUUUUAAACAAAUAAGCUUAUCGACCUUUCCCAAGGGAAAGGUCGAUAAGCUUAUUUUAAAGAAGAAAGUUUAAGCUACAUGUACAAAAAUCGCGCACUUUGAAAUAUAUUUGCCAGGGCUGGGUAAUGUCUAGUUAAAAAGAUAAAAGUUAAGUUAAAAAAUUAAAUAACUUUAACUUAACUUAGUUACAUUCCUAGACUCUUAACUUUUAACUUAAUUUAGUUACAUUUUAUCGAUAACUUAUAACUUUUUAUGUUACUCUUUUGAAGUUAACUAUGCCAUAAAUAAAGGCGUCGCGAGAUGCCGCGCGCUUGCCUACAAGUGAUUCUACAUUAUAAGUCACAGGUUGCAGUACUAGUCGAUUUGGCUUCCUCUUUUCCCCAAACGCUGGUCGUAAAAUUAACGCAAUUUACGUGAUCGCAAGUAGAUUUUGUGUAAAAAACGCAAUGAGUGUUAACGUUGACGAAUUUGAUUCGUCUAUGUCGACUGAAAAAGAUUUUGAUUGGGGUGAUUUGUCGCAAUCUACAGUCGAUCGCAAAAGCGUGCUAUGCAUGUGGUCUCACUUUCGCGAUUUUUUUGAGUUCGACACUCACGAUCAAAAAAUCGGAAAUGCUUCUUAUGUAAACCCAAGAAAAAAUACAUAUCGGCAUCGCGGAUUGCUCGAUUAGACACAGUACGAUUAGACACAGCCAAUCAUAUAGACCGAUGCCUAGGGUAACCAGCACGAUCAAGCACGAUUAGCCAAUUAAAGCCAGUUGUGUCCAAUUGUACUGUGUCUAAUCGGAGGUGUCUCUCGGCAUCAGUGUCUUCAAACUCGAAUUUGAAAACGCACAUCAAACAUUAUACAUCCUAGUAAAUUAGACGAUUUUAACAAAGCUUCGAAAAAUACACUAGCAGUUAAAAGAAAUUUAGCACACGAAAAUCUGAUGAGCAAAAACCAGAUUCAAAACAAAGGAAGUUGGAUCAUUUCAGAAAAAAUAAAUUUUUAACUAAACAAAAGUUUGAUCAAAUUACUUUAAAGCUUAUUAUCAAUACUGCGUCUGCAUUUUCACUUGUCGAGCACGAAGCAUUUAUCGAGUUUUGUGAAACAAUUCAGCAAAUGCCUAUGACUUGCAAAACUCUUAUGACGCAUAUUGAUAAAACAUUCGAAAAAAUGAAAAUGGAACUGAUCGAAGAACUAAAGAAAGUGGAAUAGGUGUGUGUAACGGCAGAUUGCUGGACGGCAUUUAGAAGAUCCUACUUGGGCAUGACAAUACACUGGUUGGAUCAUGAUACUCUGGAGAGAAAAUCAAUCAUGUGUGCCAUCGACUUGAAGGGAGACAUACAUACGAUGUUAUUGCAAGGGAAAUUGAGAUGAGUGUAUAGUGAGAUUGAAGAUGCUAAAACAGAAAAUGAACGUGGAAAACAUCUAGAAUCGGUAGAAAUAUCGGAAAUUUUAACCACUAACGGAGAAAGUUAUAGACUACCACCUCAAUAAAAAUGUACUUCUCAUACACUAAAUUUAGUUAGUACCAUCGAUACAACUUGUGCUGAGGCAGAUAUUACAAUAAUUACAAAGAAAUUAGCAGAAGGGCAUUCGCAAAAUGUCAAGCUAUCUUCAACAAGCAAAAUCAAUCGUCUGUUGCAGCAGAUAUGGUUAAAAAAUGUCUUGGAAAAUAUUUAAAAGUUCCAAACGCUACAAGAUGGAAUUCAUUCUAUGGUGCUAUAGUGGAGGUAACAAACAAUAUUAAACAAGUGAACGCCCUAGCUUCUUCCUUAAAUAUUCCCACUUUAACUCCUAACGAAAUUGACUUUUUUAAAGAAUACUGCACGGUAAUGAGACCGUUGCCAAAGGUUUAGAUAUCUUACAAGGAGAUAAACAUAUUUUUAUGGGAUAUUUAUUGCCUACGUUAGUAUCAAUCGAAGAACAUUUAAAUCAAAAGCUAACUGAGGUGUUUCAUGUAAAACCAUUAGUAAAUGCUCUCCUGAAAGGUAUUUACAAAAGAUUUCACUAUCUCUAUCAGUCUAAUGAUCUGAGGAUUGUUGCCUGUUUGAUACCAGAUUUUAAAUUGUGCUGAAUACAAGAUAAAAACGAAAAAAAGAGGUUACCGAACUUUUAAAAUCGAUUGUUCAAAAGUUUAAUUUCAAAGAUGCAGAAGUUCAUACAAGUAUACUCAAAGAACAGAAGGUCUUACGCAAAACCGACGAUUUUUUUAUAUUUCAUAACACGCCGGACCAGAACCGAAACGAAAACGCGAUAAUAACUGAUCAUAUUAUUCAAACCUACUUGUCAAUUGAUACAUUUGCGACGGAAAAAGAUUUCCCUAAGGCACUCAAAUGUGCUUUUAUAAAAUAUAAUACUUCGAUACCAUCUUCAGCUCACGUUGAACGGUUAUUCAGUGCAGGAGGGCUCGUUUUCGAUAAUCUUCGAGGAAAAAUGUCUGAUAAGAAUUUCGAAAUGGCUUUAUUACUUAAAUUUAAUAAGUAUUUGUAAAUAAAAUAUAAAGUAUGUUUCUAAAUAAAGUGUAUAAGUAUAAUAAAUAAAGUGAUGUUUGUUAUUUCCGCUAUUUGUAAGACUGUGAA